rnacentral:rRNA from 1 species
CCCUUAGAUGUUCUAGGCGGCCCGCGCACUACAUUGGCACUGGCAACAAGAUCCUAGAUCUGAUAUUUCGGGGUAUUCUACCAACUGGUGUCGUGACUGGGAUUAACCCCUGCAAUUAUUGGUUAUGAACGAGGAAUUCCUUGUAAUCACGGUUUAUCAACCCGUGUUGAAUGCGUCCCUGCCCUUUGUACACACCGCCCGUCGCUCCUACCGAUGAAUCGUCCGGUGAAGUUCAUGGAGUCGCGGCUGCUCCAGCUGUUUUCGAAGUGAAAUGGACCUCAUGAUUUAGAGGAAGGAGAAGUCGUAACA